AUAUAUAUGUUAUAUUAUUCGAUAGAGUAACGAAUAAAAAACGAUAGCAAAUGUUGAUAUAUAUGAAAAUAAAUUGAUUAUAUUUUAUGAAAAAUUUGUAAAGAAUAUAAUAUUAUUUUGUAUUUAAGAUGCAUUUACGGCUUAGUUCGAACAAGUUUUGUGUGUGUGUGUGUGUGUAUGUAUAUAUAUAUAUAUAAUGAAGUUAAAAUUGAAGAAUAGAUGCUCUUUUUUAUUUUGUUCGUUCUUACGAAAAGUAUUAGUAUUUUGUUUAAAAAUGGAAAAUUGAAAUUCGAAUGGCGCGUCAUAAGGCACAUGAUAUAUAUUAUAUAUAUCACAAGGAGUAUCCCCUAUGACUUUGAUUUCGUGUCCCUCUCUCUCGAAAUCUUACGUAAUAUCAAUACGCCCCGGCAGCGGCGGUUACUUCGUUGGUAUGUGUGUGUUGCACCACACGAAGAAGAAUUACGCUAUUGAAAAUAAAAAAAUUACAUAACGUUUAUCAAAUAGAAAAAAUUAAUUUCUCACCAAAUUUACCAUUACUUUCGUAGUCGUUAGUGUAACUGUUGGUGAAUUUCUUGAAAUAAAACUGGAAGCCUUUAAAAUCGUACUCAUUUUAGUUGAUUUAUGUAAUUUAAAACUGUAUAUAUGUUCAAUAAAGAAUAAUGUGUUUUUCUUCUUCUUUUCCUUCGAUCAAUGUCGUUUUCAAUAACGUCGUCGUCGUCGUCGUCGUCGUCGUCGUCGUCGUCGUCGUAGUCGUAGUCGUAGGAGUAGUAUGGUAGUCGGUGUUUUUCCUUCCUUAUUUCACCUCGUUCGUCUAUAUCUCUUUUGUCUUCUCUUUCUUAAACGCCCAUACAGUUACUUUCGAUUGAAACAAAGUGAGGAAGAAAAAUUGAACGAGUUAUUCACGAGGUGCGCGAAAUCACGACGAAACCAUGAUGCGUUCCAGUCGGUUGAUUGCCGAGCACUACCGCAAGACCGACACAACACCAACAGCGACAAAUAUUGAGAUGUUGAAUGAUUUGGAAGUUAAGCAAUAUAUAUGAAUUUUUUAUCUUUCUAUGAAUUGAAAAAAAAAUUGUUUGACCGUUAAAGAAUUCAUGAUUUUAUCGUCAUAGUUUUAAGUUAUUGAAAUGGCCAUAUUCGAACUCACACAUAUAUUCGGUAAAUCGCAGGUGAAGAGCUUCGUCAUUUGUCGGCAUCCUCUUUGCAAAAUAUCGCAGGUUCUAAAUACCGAACAAUAUUUAUGCAUAGUUUGUUGCAUCGAUUGUCUAAGCUCGACAACAGGGAUGCAACCUUUCGCAUAACGAGUCGCAUCGAAUCGACAAAUUGAUUGUUCACCUAUAUCCUUGAUUCAAUUGACCAGGAAUAUCAUCGUGCCGUUCACCAGGUCGAGUAAGGCAAUCAAUUUGAUCGGCAAUUGCUUUACCAAAAACGAUGAUUUCUAAUAAACUGUUAGCUCCAAGUCUAUUGGCACCAUGAACUGAUGCACAUGCAGUUUCACCAGCCGCCCAUAAUCCAUCUAUCACACUAUCUUCUUCAUUUUCACGUGUUAAUACCUGUUUUAUAUAAGUCAUCCGCGUCAUAGAUAUUCAUUUAUACGUUUUCAAGUUUAUCUAAAGUUCAUUAAAUCGUUUUAAAAAACAAAUUCUAACUUGAGCUCGCCAAUUCGUAGGUAUGCCACCCAUAUUGUAAUGGACCGUUGGUAUGACCGGUAUGGAAUCUUUCGUAACGUCAACGCCAGAAAAUACCCACGCCAAAUGUGAGAUACCUGGUAACUUGUUUUGUAUCGUUUCAAUCGGUAAAUGAUUUAGUUGAAGAUGCACAUGAUCUUUCUUUGGACCUACACCUCUAUAUACAAAGAAAAGCAUAAAUGAAGAAAGAAGGAAAAUUUGCGUUUCAUGUGGAAAUAGAUGAGAAUCACCUUCCUUCGAUUAUUUCUAUGGUAAUAGCUCUGGAAACGACGUCACGUGAUGCUAAAUCUUUAGCUAUUGGGGCGUAUCUUUCCAUGAAAAAUUCACCUUGAGAGUUUACUAAUUUACCACCUUCGCCUCUACUACCUUCCGUUAUUAAUAUGCCGGUUCCAUACAUUCCUAUGAUACAAGAAAAAAAAAAAAAAAAAAAAAAAAAAAAAAAAAACAUCGAAAUUAUUUAAUGUAUGAUUUAUUUUGAGAUGAUUGUUAUAACUUUUAGCGAUAAUAUAUACCUGUAGGAUGAAACUGUAUAAAUUCCAUAUCCUGUAAUGGCAAUCCUGCUCUAGAGAUCAUAGCCAUGCCAUCACCAGUGCAAGAAUGUGCACCUGUGCACGAUAAAUAACAUCUACCAGCACCACCUGAAGCUAUAACCUUAGGUAUGGAAAAUGUAAAUUUGUAUUAAUAAUAUUCACUGAUAUAAAGGAAAGGAAAAAGAAGAAGAAGAAGAAGAAGAAGAAGAAGAAGAAGAAGAAGAAGAAGAUGAUGAGUCCAAUGAAUGAGACAAGUACCGUGUGAUGAGCUCUAAAACGAUGAAGUAUACCAGUUUCCAGUUCCCAAGCAAGAAUUCCUUUGCAACACCGACCGUGCAUUAAAAGAUCAAGUGCAAAGUAUUCAACAUAAUAAUGAACGUCAUAUCGAAGGCUUUGUCCGUAUAAAGUAUGGAGAACGGCGUGUCCAGUUCUAUCUGCUACAGCACAAGUUCGAUGUGCUUGACCACCUUUUCCAAAUUUUAACGAUUGCCCACCGAAUGCACGUUGAUAAAUUUUGCCAGACUCGUUACGACUAAAUGGACAUCCUAAAGAAACCUCAUAAAUUGCACGAGGUGCUUCUCUGGUAAGAAAGUGUAUAGCAUCCUGAUCUCCUAGCCAAUCGGAUCCUUUGACGGUGUCGUACAUAUGAUAAAGCCAGCUGUCCUCGUGUUCGCUCGCUAUCGCGGCAUUUAUACCACCUUGAGCAGCUACUGUGUGCGAUCUCGUUGGAAAGAGUUUAGUUAUUACCGCGACACGGUAUCCUUUACUUCCUAAACCAAAUGCCGCUCUUAGACCUGCACCACCUGCUCCUAAUAUCGCUACGUCAUAACAGUGAUCUAUUACUGGAUGGGCUGACAUUAACAUGAAAUUUUUUGCCACUUAUUCUCCAUGCUGACUUCGUCCACUGAUUGCGAGAGAAAAGAAUUAAAUGUGAUUAUAUUACGUAAAUUACAAUUUUUUUCUUUAAUUCUUUUUUGUUUCGUUUUGUAAGUUAUGUAAUGUAUAUAUUUUUAAUUACCCUUGGUUGAAGUGUUAUAAACUUUCUUAGAUAACGAGCUAACAUUUUCAAGGAAUACAGAAUCUUUUUUUCUGAUACAGUCUGAUAACCUUAAUUCUAUGUUGUUAUUUUCAUUUGUUAAUAUUAACAAAGAAAAUACGAGAAUUUAUUAUGUUACUCUCGAAAAAUUUUACAGACGAGAUUGAGAAAGUGAAAUAAAUGAAAAUGCGAUUUGCAAACUUAAAAUAUUAAAUAAUAAAAUAAAAUAUAAUAAUAAGAUAACAAAAUAAUCAAGCAUAAUUAUUUAUUGCAUUUGUAAAAAUACAAUUUUAACUUACAAAUAAUUAAUACAGAUCGAAAUUGGCAUAGUACUCCGACAUACAGACUGCUUAUUUUAUAUUAUUUUAUAAUAAAAUUAUAAGGGGACACGCGUGUGUUCCUCCUUUUUCUAUAAACUUAAUUAAUUAAAUCUGAAUUAAAAUCCAAAAUUAAAAUGCAAUACUUCCUGAGAUAAUAAUAAAGGACACUUGAAUAUAUAAGUUACAUAUGUAUAUUACAAGUAUCGUUUUGACAAGAAGUUUAAUUAAUUAUUGCAUUUGUUUGUAAUAUUCGUAAUUAACGAUUCAUCAUCGAUUCUAAGGAAAAGAAAAAAAAUCUUCUUUUCCAACACUGAAUGAAAAAAAAAAAAAAAAAAAAAAAAAAGAAAAAAAAAAAAUAAAUAAAUAAAUAAAGAAAUCAAAGUGCAAGCCUCUUGACACCACAUUGACAACAAAACUUGGCAGUCUCAGGAAAUCUAGAUCCACACUCGUGACAAAAUCUUGACAUCCUACAUUUCGUCUUUGAAAUCGGUGGUUGACUUUCUCGACGAUUAUUCCUGGACAUGUUAUCCUCCAUACGAUUUGUCGUGUCGUUGUUGCUGCUGCGUCCAUGGUUGGAAUAUUUGCGAUUUAAACUAAUAUUAUACAAAAAUAUUGAACAUUUUAAUUUUUAUUAUUGUUGUAAUAUUAUUGAGUAGUUUAUUUAACUAUCAAUCUAACAAUCUAACAAGUCAAAAGAUUAACCUGCUGUAUGCAGAAUCAGCAUUAAUUUUAUGUUCCUGUUGUUUGUAAUUUUCCGCUGAAGAAAAUUCCUCGUCACUGAUAUGUCCAUCAAAUUGUCUGUUAUUAUCAGGAGGAGGUGGACCAUUGGAUGAAGUUCUCAAGGAUUCGUUUCUUAGGAGAGACCUCAAGGAUGGAAAAGAACCAUUACCAACGAUAUCAUCUUCGAAAGAAGUUAUUAAUUGAUCGAAUACAGAAUUAGAACGUUUUAGAUCAAUCUCAGAAGAAACGAUCGAGCUAAGGCUAAGAUCGCUAUUUGAAAAUGUUAAAUAAUCGUUUCGAACGUUAUUAUCAUUAUAUUUCGCUUCUUGAUUAUUAUUAUCUUUAGCGUUAAGAGUUUUAUUUUUUCUUUGAUAAAUAGAUUUAGGUGCUGAAAAAGCACGAAUCGUUUGUGAUCUAUUAGGUAUAGAUUUAGAGAUUCCUUUAUUAAAAAUAUCAUUUUUAUAUUGCUUAUCGAUACUAUUAGAUUUAUCUUGAUCAAUUUCUGUCCCCAAAGCUAAUGAUCUGUCAAUGAUCAUUCUACGACCGAGUUCUCUAUUAGAAAUCUUUUUUGUCCGAUCGUUUUUCUUUGAAUCAUGAAAAUCUUUAAGAAAUAUUUCACGCGAUAGUGAAUUUGUUUCUGUGGAAUCGCUCGAAAAAUCUGAUGUGAGUUCAUCGAAUUCGUUGGUAAUGGAUUUUUCUAAAAGAUUUGUUUUAGUUUGGUAUGGGUAUUUAAUGAAAGCGGAAGAAUGUGAAAGAGGAAGGAGAGAUUUUGUUGACGACGACGAUGGAAUUUCUGUUAACGAUAAAUCACUCGAAUCCGAUAACAAAUCUUGCAUUUGUCGUUCUGCUAUUAAAAAAGGGUCGUAUUCCUUGCAGGCACCACUGUAACACAUAUAUUCGUUUCCUUUUCUUUUUUUUUUUUAAUAACUUUUUAUAAUUAUUAAUUUCUUUAGUUUUUCAUUAAAUUGUUUUUAUUUGAACGUUUAAGCCAUGUAUUCGAUAUUUUAC